rnacentral:rRNA from 1 species
GACGAACGCUGGCGGCGUGCCUAAUACAUGCAAGUCGAGCGGACAGAAGGGAGCUUGCUCCCGGAUGUUAGCGGCGGACGGGUGAGUAACACGUUGGUAACCUGCCUGUAAGACUGGGAUAACUCCGGGAAACCGGAGCUAAUACCGGAUAGUUCCUUGAACCGACUGGUUCAAGGAUGAAAGACGGUUUGGGCUGUCAUUUACAGAUGGACCCGCGGCGCAUUAGCUAGUUGGUGGGGUAAGGGCUCACCAAGGCGACGAUGCGUAGCCGACCUGAGAGGGUGAUCGGUCACACUGGGACUGAGACACGGCCCAGACUCCGACGGGAGGCAGCAGUAGGGAAUCUUCCGCAAUGGACGAAAGUCUGACGGAGCAACGCCGCGUGAGUGAUGAAGGUUUUCGGAUCGUAAAGCUCUGUUGUUAGGGAAGAACAAGUGCGAGAGUAACUGCUCGCACCUUGACGGUACCUAACCAGAAAGCCACGGCUAACUACGUGCCAGCAGCCGCAGUAACAC